AUGCUUAUAAUUAUGUGUUGGAUAAGUGAUUUCCCGUCCCGGAAUUUUAAUUCCGAGGACAUGAAAAGACGAAAAUGCCCUUAAACGGGACUAAGGGGCGAAAAUUUAACAAUUUGGAUUGAGUUGGACACGUGGGAUCCCCACACCCCUCAAUCCUCUCCCUAUUUUCUGCAUACUGUCUCUCUCUCUCCUCCCUCACGAAUCUCUCUCUCUCUGUCACUCUUCUUCUCCGUUCGAACAAACCAACCACAAAACAACCUUAAACUUCCACCAACGACGGAGUUAAGACCACCAUCGAACUCCUGGAGACUCCACGAUCACGUAGACACCAAUUUCAGGACAAUCCAAGCUCACAGUGAGCUUAGUGAGGUUCCAAGGAAGCUCGGAGUGCUUCGUUGGAAGUUUUUGGACGUAAGAACACGGAGAUCGAUAAGUUCAAAGUUUGGCCGGAGCUUUCGAGGCAUUUUCCGGCGAAUCCCCGGCGAGUUAGGCGUCGAGUUUCCGGCGACCUCCGAGGCUUUCGAGGCAGUUUCCGGCCAAACUACGGCGAACUAGGUGUUGGGAAAGGCGCCGAUCGUCAUGACGCCUUGGCGUAUUGUGCUAGGGAGUUGUAGGGCGAACUCCAGGUUCAGGAAUCACAAAGGUGUGGUGACUACGAGGAAUUCGACGGUGUUCUGACAGAUUGGACAAAAUUAGGACUCACCUUCGGGUGUAUCAAUUUAAAUUGUAUCUUAAAGCUUCCGUACUGUGCAAAUGGUUACGUCACUCUCACGUGACGGCCAGCAUGCCCUCCUUCGGGACGGGGUGUGUCAU
rnacentral:sRNA from 1 species